UACGAAGGGGGCUAGCGUUGUUCGGAAUUACUGGGCGUAAAGCGCACGUAGGCGGACAUUUAAGUCAGGGGUGAAAUCCCAGAGCUCAACUCUGGAACUGCCUUUGAUACUGGGUGUCCUGAGUAUGGAAGAGGUGAGUGGAAUUCCGAGUGUAGAGGUGAAAUUCGUAGAUAUUCGGAGGAACACCAGUGGCGAAGGCGGCUCACUGGUCCAUUACUGACGCUGAGGUGCGAAAGCGUGGGGAGCAAACAGG
rnacentral:rRNA from 1 species